GGAAUAUUGCACAAUGGGCGAAAGCCUGAUGCAGCGACGCCGCGUGAGGGAUGACGGCCUUCGGGUUGUAAACCUCUUUCAGUAGGGAACAAGGCCAGUGUUUAGCUGGUUGAGGGUACUUGCAGAAGAAGCGCCGGCUAACUACGUGCCAGCAGCCGCGGUAAUACGUAGGGCGCAAGCGUUAUCCGGAAUUAUUGGGCGUAAAGAGCUCGUAGGCGGUUUGUCGCGUCUGCCGUGAAAGUCCGGGGCUCAACUCCGGAUCUGCGGUGGGUACGGGCAGACUAGAGUGAUGUAGGGGAGACUGGAAUUCCUGGUGUAGCGGUGAAAUGCGCAGAUAUCAGGAGGAACACCGAUGGCGAAGGCAGGUCUCUGGGCAUUAACUGACGCUGAGGAGCGAAAGCAUGGGGAGCGAACAGGAUUAGAUACCCCUG
rnacentral:rRNA from 1 species